UUUGUACUCACUAAAUCUCUUGUGAGAUACCAACAGUUUCAUCAUUAAUAGUGCAAGCUCAGCAGAAUUCCAGAAAGAGCAGAGUUUAGUAAUCAAAUGUGUGGAAAAAACACCAGAUUACAAUGUUUGAAACUACAUUUCUUUUAAUUGAUAAAGGUAUAUGUAUAAUACAAGAAGGCAAUGAAAUACAGGGAAUGAAACAGGAAGCGAAAAUAUAUAUAUAUAUAUAUAUAUAUAUAUAUAUAUAUAUAUAUAUAUAUAUAUGAAUGAAGAACACCAGAAGCAAACAGCACAACUCCUCACACUUCUUCACAGGGACCAAAAGAUAUGAACUUUUGACAGAAAGCUUACAAAUCAAACUCAGAAUGAGCAGUAGCAUGGUCUAGUUUCCAGGUGGUGGGGAGAGGAACGGGAUAGAGGGGAUUGUUGUUGGGAUAGGGAUAGUGGGCAUUGAGGGCAUGCUUGGAAGUGGAGGCAAGGUGACCUUGGGGAGACUAGGCAUUGUUGGCAGGCUAGGAAGUGGAGGCAGUGUGGGUUUAGGCAGGGAAGGUUGUGCGGUUGGCAAUGUGGGCUGUGGUAGUGUUGGUAUAGAAGGCAUUGGUGGCAAUGUUGGUUUAGGCAAAUUGGGUACCGCAGGUAAAGGGGGCAAUUGCAGAAGCUGACGAGCUGCCUCGCCUCCUGAAAUUGAUAGAGCAAUGAAGAGAGCUAAGAUAAAACAGCUGAAACUUGCCAUCUCGAUGCUAAAUCUCAAGGCCUGGAAGAGGCUAUAUGAACUCGCUAGCUAGGAUUAAGAGAAGA